AGAGCUAUGAACUUUCCUGUCUCAGAGCGUUGGUCUUAUUUUCUGUUUUCUAUUUCUGUAAUUCUAACUGCGUAGUAACAUUUCUAUUUUAUGAGUGCGUAGUAACCUUUUAUUUCAGCUGCGUAGUUAAACUGAAACUGUAAUGAGUACUCCCCCAUUACACCUGCAAGCUAGCUGUAGGAUAAGAUAUGUUGAAAUAAGUUUGAUGAAUGAUGUUAUUAUUGGAUAAUGUUUAUAAG